AUUGAACGCUGGCGGCAGGCCUAACACAUGCAAGUCGAGCGGAUGAAGGGAGCUUGCUCCUGGAUUCAGCGGCGGACGGGUGAGUAAUGCCUAGGAAUCUGCCUGGUAGUGGGGGAUAACGUCCGGAAACGGGCGCUAAUACCGCAUACGUCCUGAGGGGGAAAGUGGGGGAUCUUCGGACCUCACGCUAUCAGAUGAGCCUAGGUCGGAUUAGCUAGAUGGUGGGGUAAAGGCCUACCAAGGCGACGAUCCGUAACUGGUCUGAGAGGAUGAUCAGUCACACUGGAACUGAGACACGGUCCAGACUCCUACGGGAGGCAGCAGUGGGGAAUAUUGGACAAUGGGCGAAAGCCUGAUCCAGCCAUGCCGCGUGUGUGAAGAAGGUCUUCGGAUUGUAAAGCACUUUAAGUUGGGAGGAAGGGCAGUAAGUUAAUACCUUGCUGUUUUGACGUUACCAACAGAAUAAGCACCGGCUAACUUCGUG
rnacentral:rRNA from 1 species